rnacentral:rRNA from 2 species
AGUAGCAAUACUGUGGGUGGCGAGUGGCGGACGGGUGAGUAAUGCAUCGGGACCUACCUAGACGUGGGGGAUAACGUAGGGAAACUUACGCUAAUACCGCAUACGUCCUACGGGAGAAAGCGGGGGAUCUUCGGACCUCGCGCGGUUAGACGGACCGAUGUUCGAUUAGCUAGUUGGUAGGGUAAUGGCCUACCAAGGCGACGAUCGAUAGCUGGUCUGAGAGGAUGAUCAGCCACACUGGAACUGAGACACGGUCCAGACUCCUACGGGAGGCAGCAGUGGGGAAUAUUGGACAAUGGGCGCAAGCCUGAUCCAGCAAUGCCGCGUGUGUGAAGAAGGCCUUCGGGUUGUAAAGCACUUUUAUCAGGAGCGAAAUACUACUGGCUAAUAACCGGUGGGGCUGACGGUACCUGAGGAAUAAGCACCGGCUAACUUCGUGCCAGCAGCCGC